ACGGGGGGUGCAAGCGUUGUUCGGAAUCAUUGGGCGUAAAGCGCGUGUAGGCGGCUUGACAAGUCAGAUGUGAAAUCCCUGGGCUUAACUCAGGAAGUGCAUUUGAUACUGUCAGGCUUGAGUAUGGUAAAGGCAGGUGGAAUUCCUGGUGUAGAGGUGAAAUUCGUAGAUAUCAGGAGGAACACCGGUUGCGAAGGCAGCUUUCUGGCCCUAUACUGACGCUGAUGCGCGAAAGCGUGGGUAGCGAACAG
rnacentral:rRNA from 1 species